UACGUAGGGUGCAAGCGUUGUCCGGAAUUACUGGGCGUAAAGGGCUCGUAGGCGGCCAACUAAGUCAGACGUGAAAUCCCUCGGCUUAACCGGGGAACUGCGUCUGAUACUGGAUGGCUUGAAUUCGGGAGAGGGAUGCGGAAUUCCAGGUGUAGCGGUGAAAUGCGUAGAUAUCGAGAGGAACACCAGUGGCGAAGGCGAGUCUCUGGACACUUCCUGACGCUGAGGCACGAAAGCCAGGGGAGCAAACGGG
rnacentral:rRNA from 1 species